GAGGAAUAUUGGUCAAUGGGCGAGAGCCUGAACCAGCCAAGUAGCGUGCAGGAUGACGGCCCUAUGGGUUGUAAACUGCUUUUAUGUGGGGAUAAAGUGAGCUACGUGUAGUUUAUUGCAGGUACCACAUGAAUAAGGACCGGCUAAUUCCGUGCCAGCAGCCGCGGUAAUACGGAAGGUCCAGGCGUUAUCCGGAUUUAUUGGGUUUAAAGGGAGCGUAGGCCGUGGAUUAAGCGUGUUGUGAAAUGUAGACGCUCAACGUCUGAAUUGCAGCGCGAACUGGUUCACUUGAGUAUGCACAACGUAGGCGGAAUUCGUCGUGUAGCGGUGAAAUGCUUAGAUAUGACGAAGAACUCCGAUUGCGAAGGCAGCUUACGGGAGCACAACUGACGCUGAAGCUCGAAGGUGCGGGUAUCAAACAGGAUUAGAUACCCUGGUAGUCCGCACAGUAAACGAUGGAUGCCCGUUGUUAGUUCACUUAUGAAUUAGCGACCAAGCGAAAGCAUUAAGCAUCCCACCUGGGGAGUACGCCGGCGACGGUG
rnacentral:rRNA from 1 species